CUACGUGCCAGCAGCCGCGGUAAUACGGAGGGUGCGAGCGUUAAUCGGAAUAACUGGGCGUAAAGGGCACGCAGGCGGUGACUUAAGUGAGGUGUGAAAGCCCCGGGCUUAACCUGGGAAUUGCAUUUCAUACUGGGUCGCUAGAGUACUUUAGGGAGGGGUAGAAUUCCACGUGUAGCGGUGAAAUGCGUAGAGAUGUGGAGGAAUACCGAAGGCGAAGGCAGCCCCUUGGGAAUGUACUGACGCUCAUGUGCGAAAGCGUGGGGAGCAAACAGGAUUAGAUACCCUGGUAGUCCACGCUGUAAACGAUGAGUGCUAAGUGUUGGUCUCAUAAGAGAUCAGUGCUGCAGCUAACGCAUUAAGCACUCCGCCUGGGGAGUACGGCCGCAAGGUUAAAACUCAAAUGAAUUGACGGGGGCCCGCACAAGCGGUGGAGCAUGUGGUUUAAUUCGAUGCAACGCGAAGAACCUUACCUACUCUUGACAUCCAGAGAACAUUC
rnacentral:rRNA from 1 species